AUUGAACGCUGGCGGAAUGCUUUACACAUGCAAGUCGAACGGCAGCACGGGGGCAACCCUGGUGGUGAGUGGCGAACGGGUGAGUAAUGUAUCGGAACGUACCCAGUCGUGGGGGAUAACUAUCCGAAAGGAUAGCUAAUACCGCAUACGUCCUGAGGGAGAAAGCGGGGGACCUGCAAGGGCCUCGCGCGAUUGGAGCGGCCGAUAUCGGAUUAGCUAGUUGGUGAGGUAAAGGCUCACCAAGGCGACGAUCCGUAGCGGGUCUGAGAGGACGACCCGCCACACUGGAACUGAGACACGGUCCAGACUCCUACGGGAGGCAGCAGUGGGGAAUUUUGGACAAUGGGGGAAACCCUGACCCAGCCAUUCCGCGUGAGUGAAGAAGGCCUUCGGGUUGUAAAGCUCUUUCAGCAGGAACGAAACGGUCGGCUUUAAUAAAGUCGGCUAAUGACGGUACCUGCAGAAGAAGCACCGGCUAACUACGUGCCAGCCGCCGCGGUAA
rnacentral:rRNA from 1 species